rnacentral:rRNA from 1 species
GGCAGCGGGGAGGAAGCUUGCUUUCUCCGCCGGCGACCGGCGCACGGGUGAGUAACACGUAUGCAACCUGCCCCUGUCAGGGGGACAACCCGCCGAAAGGCGGGCUAAACCCGCGUACAUGCCACCGGGGCAUCCCGGAGGCAGGAAAGGCUUCGGCCGGACAGGGAUGGGCAUGCGGCGCAUUAGGCAGUAGGCGGGGUAACGGCCCACCUAACCGACGAUGCGUAGGGGUUCUGAGAGGAAGGUCCCCCACACUGGUACUGAGACACGGACCAGACUCCUACGGGAGGCAGCAGUGAGGAAUAUUGGUCAAUGGUCGGGAGACUGAACCAGCCAAGCCGCGUGAGGGAGGAAGGUACAGAGUAUCGUAAACCUCUUUUGUCAGGGAACAAAGGCGGGGACGUGUCCCCGGAUGAGUGUACCUGAAGAAAAAGCAUCGGCUAACUCCGUGCCAGCAGCCGCGGUAAUACGGAGGAUGCGAGCGUUAUCCGGAUUUAUUGGGUUUAAAGGGUGCGCAGGCGGUCUGUUAAGUCAGCGGUCAAAGCCCGGGGCUCAACCCCGGCCCGCCGUUGAAACUGGCAGUCUCGAGUUGGAGAGAAGUAUGCGGAAUGCGCGGUGUAGCGGUGAAAUGCAUAGAUAUCGCGCAGAACUCCGAUUGCGAAGGCAGCAUGCCGGCUCCACACUGACGCUGAGGCACGAAAGCGUGGGUAUCGAACAGGAUUAGAUACCCUGGUAGUCCACGCAGUAAACGAUGAAUGCUGGCUGUCCGGGGGGACUGACCCCUGGGUGGCGAAGCGAAAGCGAUAAGCAUUCCACCUGGGGAGUACGCCGGCAACGGUGAAACUCAAAGGAAUUGACGGGGGCCCGCACAAGCGGAGGAACAUGUGGUUUAAUUCGAUGAUACGCGAGGAACCUUACCCGGGCUCAAACGGGGAGUGGCGCAGGCAGAGACGCCUGUUUCCCACGGGACACUCCCCGAGGUGCUGCAUGGUUGUCGUCAGCUCGUGCCGUGAGGUGUCGGCUUAAGUGCCAUAACGAGCGCAACCCCCGCGUGCAGUUGCUAACAGUCAACGCUGAGGACUCUGCACGGACUGCCGGCGCAAGCCGCGAGGAAGGCGGGGAUGACGUCAAAUCAGCACGGCCCUUACGUCCGGGGCGACACACGUGUUACAAUGGGUGGUACAGCGGGAAGCCAGGCGGCGACGCCGAGCGGAACCCGAAAUCCACUCUCAGUUCGGAUCGGAGUCUGCAACCCGACUCCGUGAAGCUGGAUUCGCUAGUAAUCG